CCUACGGGAGGCAGCAGUAGGGAAUCUUCCACAAUGAGCGAAAGCUUGAUGGAGCGACACAGCGUGCACGAAGAAGGUUUUCGGCUCGUAAAGCUCUGUUAUUGGAGAAGAACAUUCGUAAUAGUAACUGUUCACGCAGUGACGGUAUCCAACCAGAAAGUCACGGCUAACUACGUGCCAGCAGCCGCGGUAAUACGUAGGUCGCAAGCGUUAUCCGGAGUUAUUGGGCGUAAAGCGAUCGCAGGCGGUUGAUUAGGUCUGGUGUGAAAGCCUUCGGCUUAACCGAAGAAGUGCAUCGGAAAACGGGAAAAUGGAGUGCAGAAGAGGAAAGGGGAACUCCAGGUGGAGAGGGGGAAAGCGGAGAUAGAGGGAAGAAAACCAGGGGCGAAGGGGGCUGGCUGGGAUGCAAACGACGCGGAGGCGAGAAAGCAUGGGUAGCGAACAGGAUUAGAUACCCGUGUAGGC
rnacentral:rRNA from 1 species